AUUGAACGUUGGCGGCAUGCCUUACACAUGCAAGUCGAACGGCAGCACGGGUGCUUGCACCUGGUGGCGAGUGGCGAACGGGUGAGUAAUAUAUCGGAACGUACCUUAUUGUGGGGGAUAACGCAGCGAAAGCUGUGCUAAUACCGCAUAAUCCCUAAGGGGGAAAGCGGGGGACCGUAAGGCCUCGCGCAAUUAGAGCGGCCGAUACCUGAUUAGCUAGUUGGUGAGGUAAAGGCUCACCAAGGCAACGAUCAGUAGCUGGUCUGAGAGGACGAUCAGCCACACUGGGACUGAGACACGGCCCAGACUCCUACGGGAGGCAGCAGUGGGGAAUUUUGGACAAUGGGGGCAACCCUGAUCCAGCAAUGCCGCGUGAGUGAAGAAGGCCUUCGGGUUGUAAAGCUCUUUUGUCAGGGAAGAAACAGCAGCUCUAACACAGUUUGCGAAUGACGGUACCUGAAGAACAAGCACCGGCUAACUACGUGCCAGCCGCCGCAGUAA
rnacentral:rRNA from 1 species